CUGAGAGGUAGAACGGCCACAUUUGGGACUGAGACACGGCCCAGACUCCUACGGGAGGCAGCAGUGGGGAAUAUUGCACAAUGGAGGAAACUCUGAUGCAGCGACGCCGCGUGAGGGAAGAAGGUUUUAGGAUUGUUAACGCUCGUCUUCAAGGAAGAUAAUGACGGUACUGAGGAGGAAGCUUCCGGCUAACUACGUGCCAGCA
rnacentral:rRNA from 1 species